rnacentral:rRNA from 1 species
UACGAAGGACCCGAGCGUUAUCCGGAUUCCUUGGGUUUAAAGGGUGCGUAGGCGGAUUGAUAAGUCAGUGGUGAAAGCCCAUCGCUUAACGAUGGAACUGCCAUUGAUACUGUCGAUCUUGAGUACAUUUGAAGUGGGCGGAAUGUGUCAUGUAGCGGUGAAAUGCUUAGAUAUGACACAGAACACCGAUUGCGAAGGCAGCUCACUAAACUGUAACUGACGCUGAGGCACGAAAGCGUGGGGAUCAAACAGG